UUAAUGACCAAAUGGCUUAGCGUAGCAAUAGCAACACGAUUCGAUUAACCUUAUUCGAAGAUAAUAAAUAAUGACUUGUUAAUGAUUUUUUUUAAUAAUGUUGUGGAGGCAGUGGAGUACAGAUUAAAGAGGCACUCCAGCUUCAACUAGAUGUUCAGAGGCAUCUUCAUGAACAACUAGAGAUUCAACGAAACCUACAACUAAGAAUCGAAGAACAAGGGAAACAGUUGAAAAUAAUGAUGGAACAACAACAAAAAACAAAAGAGAGUCUAAUGAAGACACCCGAAGCUGAAGCAUCAUUGUCUCUUCCCGCUUCCGAUCACACUCCUGAUCCUCCGCCACCUUUCUUGGUACAAGACAACACAGAAUCCCUGAUGCUAACAAGUUAUGGAGACAAUCAACUCCAGUCAAAGAUUAGUUGAAAAAAAAAAUGAGAGAUAUUGGCUACAUAGAAAAGGGCCUAAAGCAUGUUUCUACUCUAUUCAAAAUGGUAUAAAGUCAUAAGAGUCGCGACAAGAGAAUGUCCAAAGUGCUACACACACUAACACUUGGGAAAAGAAUCAGGUACUAAAUGUGUGCAAGUGGUGUGUGAUGGGGUCUCAUUAGUCAAUAGAGUAAUAGAUGUGUGAGAUUAUUCUUAAUUAACUAUAUUUUGUGUUAUAAACUCACACGAAGAGAGAUGGCUUCUUAAAUUAGUAACGCUACUUUUUAAAAAUUGUGCACGAGGAA